rnacentral:rRNA from 1 species
CACGUAGUUAGCCGUGGCUUAUUCAUUGAGUACCGUCAUUUGUUUCGUCCUCAAUAAAAGAAGUUUACAACCCGAAAGCCUUCUUCCUUCACGCGGCGUUGCUGGGUCAGGCUUGCGCCCAUUGCCCAAUAUUCCCCACUGCUGCCUCCCGUAGGAGUCUGGGCCGUGUCUCAGUCCCAAUGUGGCCGGUCAACCUCUCAGUCCGGCUACUGAUCGUCGCCUUGGUGGGCCGUUGCCCCACCAACUAGCUAAUCAGACGCGAGGCCAUCUCAGAGCGAUAAAUCUUUGGCAGUCAGAGCCAUGCGACUCAACUGCUUCAUGCGGUAUUAGCACAAUUUUCACUGUGUUAUUCCCCUCUCCAAGGCAGGUUCCUCACGCGUUACUCACCCGUCCGCCACUAAGCAUUCCCUUCACUUGUCCGAAAACUCGAUCAGGGGUGCUCCGUUCGACUUGCAUGUGUUAAGCACGCCGCCAGCGUUCAUCCUGAGCCAGGA